rnacentral:lncRNA from 1 species
CUCCCGCGCCCCGCAAGUGCUCCCCUACCCGGGGACCCGCGCCCGCGUGCAGGCAGGCAUAUAAGGACGAACCCACGGGAAAAGCUGCGGUUCUCCAGGAGUCUGGUUGUUCCUCGCAGCCGGGACGGAAUGCUCAAGUCUGUCACCACACAGCUGUCAGCCAAGGGAGGUGCAGAGCUGGAGGUGGAAGGGAGUCGUCUUCUUAGCUUGACCUUUGAAGCCCUUUGCUUUACGACUGGAUGCUUGAUCAUUUUUCUCGGCCUUUGAUCUUCUUGAAAUCGCAAUUGUAUCUGAUGCCUCAGACUAUAUAAACUAAUGGAUGAGUUAAGUCCCAGACAAGAUGUAUGUCUGCGUUCACAGAGUCACCUGCAUAUGAAAAUGAGACUGAAGAAUGUAGCCUGAGCAUCCCCUUCCUGCGCACUUGGCCCUGGAGUCUAUAGGAUUCCCCUCCACCCCAUCCAAGCCCUCCAGGAUUUCACACAACAAAAACUGAGUAUGUAACCCAAUUAUAACAUAGGGCCCAAGGAAAGUGCAUUGAUUGCUUCUUGGGUAACUAUGGCAUUCACAGCGUUUGAAAUGUCAUCUUGAACGCCAUUUCUGCCUAACGAUGUGUGCAAAUGUAUAUUUACACUUACAAAGCCUCUUUUGCUGUGUUCACUGUUUAGAGCUUUGCCUUUGUAAAGUGCAGCCUUCAUAGAAAACAAUAAAAGUGUGUUCAUAUAAAAGUUAA